rnacentral:lncRNA from 1 species
GUUUUCCAGGAAUUCAGACAGAAUAUGAGAUCCUAACUCCAAAUGCUAUUCCUAAAGGUUUUAUGGAUGGUAAACAGGCCUGUGAACGAAUAUCCGGGCUUUAGAAUUGGACCCAAACUUGUACAGAAUUGGACAGAGCAAGAUAUUUUUCAGAGCUGGAGUUCUGGCACACUUAGAGGAAGAAAGAGAUUUAAAAAUCACCGAUAUCAUUAUCUUCUUCCAGGCCGUUUGCAGAGGUUACCUGGCCAGAAGGCCUUUGCCAAGAAGCAGCAGCAACUAAGUGCCUUAAAGGUCUUGCAGCGGAACUGUGCCGCGUACCUGAAAUUACGGCACUGGCAGUGGUGGCGAGUCUUCACAAAGUGAAGCCGCUUCUACAAGUGACUCGCCAGGAGGAAGAACUUCAGGCCAAAGAUGAAGAGCUGUUGAAGGUGAAGGAGAAGCAGACGAAGGUGGAAGGAGAGCUGGAGGAGAUGGAGCGGAAGCACCAGCACUUUUAGAAGAGAAGAAUAUCCUUGCAGAACAACUACAAGCAGAGACUGAGCUCUUUGCUGAAGCAGAAGAGAUGAGGGCAAGACUUGCUGCUAAAAAGCAGGAAUUAGAAGAGAUUCUACAUGACUUGGAGUCUAGGGUUGAAGAAGAAGAAGAAAGAAACCAAAUCCUCCAAAAUGAAAAGAAAAAA